rnacentral:misc_RNA from 1 species
UUUCCGUAGGUGAACCUGCGGAAGGAUCAUUCAUAAUAAAGUGUUUUAUGGCACUUUUUAAAAAUCCAUAUCCACCUUGUGUGCAAUGUUAGAUCUCGUCAAUCUUGGCGAGGUUUUUAUACAUCAACUCAUUCUUUAACUAAUUUGUCUGAAAAAUAUUAUGAAUACUUAUUUCAAAAUACAACUUUCAACAACGGAUCUCUUGGCUCUC